AUUGAACGCUGGCGGCAUGCCUUACACAUGCAAGUCGAACGGCAGCACGGGUGCUUGCACCUGGUGGCGAGUGGCGAACGGGUGAGUAAUACAUCGGAACAUGUCCUGUAGUGGGGGAUAGCCCGGCGAAGGCCGGAUUAAUACCGCAUACGAUCUACGGAUGAAAGCGGGGGACCUUCGGGCCUCGCGCUAUAGGGUUGGCCGAUGGCUGAUUAGCUAGUUGGUGGGGUAAAGGCCUACCAAGGCGACGAUCAGUAGCUGGUCUGAGAGGACGACCAGCCACACUGGGACUGAGACACGGCCCAGACUCCUACGGGAGGCAGCAGUGGGGAAUUUUGGACAAUGGGCGAAAGCCUGAUCCAGCAAUGCCGCGUGUGUGAAGAAGGCCUCCGGGUUGUAAAGCACUUUUGUCCGGAAAGAAAUCCUUGGCCCUAAUACGGUCGGGGGAUGACGGUACCGGAAGAAUAAGCACCGGCUAACUACGUG
rnacentral:rRNA from 1 species